rnacentral:tRNA from 1 species
AGCAGCGUGGCUCAGUGGAAAGAGCGCGGGAUUGGGAGUCAGUGGUCAUGGGUUCGAAUCCCGUCUCUGCCG